GAUAAGAACGCGGAAGUAUUUCAUUCUUUGUCGCAGUGUUGAAAUGUUAACCAUUUUUAAGACAGAUUAGAAGAUACGCAAAUAUAGAAGAGAUAGCAUAUACUUCAUUUCAAAACGAAGUUGUUGGCAUCUAGGUGGCGAUAUUUGUGAUACCGUUCUGUUUAUUCUCCAAUUAAUCGUGACUGGCAGACUGCUUGCAUUCAUAUUUAGUAGAAGUUUCUAAAAUGGGAAACAGAGGGAGCAAUAGUUCUUCUAAGAUUACAGAAGUCGUUCAAGCUGCUUUUCCUAGUAGCACGUCUGAUAACCAGAGUAAUACCUAUCAUUCUAAACAUGAGUCUUCAGAUGAUUCGAAAAAAGAAGUUCAUGUGGUACAUACAUCAUAUUCACCUGUCAAAAAAAUUGAGUUGCCAGAAAGUCCACCUCCACGACCUGCAACUCCACCACUGGAUCCAAUCGGUUUAAAACCAAAAUAAUAAGGUCGUUCCACCAAACGCUAAACUCUUUUAAAUUUCAUUUUUGUCAUACUUGUGUGUUUAUAUUUGCAAAUGGAUAACACUUGUAUGUUUGCACAUGGAUAACACUAUCUUCAAUAUAUUCAUAUGGUUGUUAAUUAGCCAAAAUAUUUUCUAAGAUAACAUAAUUAUUAUCUUGAGAGAUAUCAUUGUGAUUUCUUUACGAGUGUUUUGCAAUAAGUUCGAAAUACAAAGUUAUGGCAUAACGUUAUGUCGGGAUUAAUGAAUGGGUGAUUCAAGUAUUUUAGUAUUACUUGUAUUUUCUUCUUUUUUUCUCUUUUAAAUAUCUACCAUUAAAAAAUUCGUUAGGAUCGAAAUAAUAAAUAUUAACCUAUGUUUUUAAGUGAUUCAAAUAAAGUCUAGCCGUAAUAUGUCUUUUGUUUUAUAAUAAACAAAUCUUGAUUAUCGUUUAUAUUAUAAAUGCCUUGUAUGCGUCACAUUCGUCAUGUACUUUCGUUUUCGAUACAAGACAAUUUGUCAAAUACUAAAAUGUAUGUAUGUAUGUAUGUAUGUAUGUAUGUAUGUAUGUAUGUAUGUAUGUUGGAAGUGAGUAAUUUAUCAUUAAAUGUCCGUCAUUGUAUUGUGUAAUGCAUUGUAUUGCUCAGAAUGUUGUAGUUAUAUUUUGUGUCAGGUCAAGGGCUCAUUAGCCUAAACCAGACUGUUGUUGUUUAUAUGUGGAUUUUAAAAUAAAGAAUUAUUUUCUUCUU